AUUGAACGCUGGCGGCAUGCUUUACACAUGCAAGUCGAACGGUAACAGGCCGCAAGGUGCUGACGAGUGGCGAACGGGUGAGUAAUGCAUCGGAACGUGCCCAGUCGUGGGGGAUAACGCAGCGAAAGCUGUGCUAAUACCGCAUACGAUCUGGGGAUGAAAGCGGGGGACCUUCGGGCCUCGCGCGAUUGGAGCGGCCGAUGUCAGCUUAGGUAGUUGGUGGGGUAAAGGCUCACCAAGCCGACGAUCUGUAGCUGGUCUGAGAGGACAACCAGCCACACUGGGACUGAGACACGGCCCAGACUCCUACGGGAGGCAGCAGUGGGGAAUUUUGGACAAUGGGCGCAAGCCUGAUCCAGCAAUGCCGCGUGCAGGAAGAAGGCCUUCGGGUUGUAAACUGCUUUUGUACGGAGCGAAAAGGCUCCCUCUAAUACAGGGGGCUCAUGACGGUACCGUAAGAAUAAGCACCGGCUAACUACGUGCCAGCCGCCGCCGUAAAAC
rnacentral:rRNA from 1 species